UUACGACUAUAUCACAGUCAAACAUUCGUUCUCGUGCGAUCACUGAAGUUAAGCAACGUUGAACCUGACCAGUAUCUAGAUGAGUGACCGCUUCGGAAUACCAGGUGCUGUAA